rnacentral:siRNA from 1 species
AACGAUGGUGAAGAACAUAUUGA